UACGAAGGGGGGCUAGCGUUACUCGGAUUGACUGGGCGUAAAGGGCGCGUAGGCGGCUUGUACAGUCAGACGUGAAAUUCCUGGGCUCAACCUGGGGGCUGCGUUUGAUACGUGCGGGCUUGAGUUCGGAAGAGGGUCGUGGAAUUCCCAGUGUAGAGGUGAAAUUCGUAGAUAUUGGGAAGAACACCGGUGGCGAAGGCGGCGACCUGGUCCGAUACUGACGCUGAGGCGCGAAAGCGUGGGGAGCAAACAGG
rnacentral:rRNA from 1 species